CACUUUUUGCAUUGUUUAUUGAUGAAUUGGUACCACUCAUUAACGGACUCUGUUGUGGCGCAUUAAUCGGUGACGAUAUGAUCAGCUGCUUGCUAUACGCUGACGAUCUAGUUCUUAUUUCGGGAACUGUUGAUGGACUACAAAAUCAGCUUAAUGCUCUGAACGAUUGGACAAAGACACAAUUAAUGAACGUUAAUACAGAAAAGACAAAAAUUAUGCAUAUUCGAAAGACUACAAAGGACAG
rnacentral:lncRNA from 1 species